rnacentral:rRNA from 1 species
AAGAGAACCGGAACACAGGUGCUGCACGGCUGUCGUCAGCUCGUGUCGUGAGAUGUUGGGUUAAGUCCCGCAACGAGCGCAACCCUCGUCAUUAGUUGCCAUCAUUUGGUUGGGCACUCUAAUGAGACUGCCGGUGACAAACCGGAGGAAGGUGGGGAUGACGUCAAGUCCUCAUGGCCCUUAUGGGUAGGGCUUCACACGUCAUACAAUGGUCGGUACAGAGGGUUGCCAACCCGCGAGGGGGAGCUAAUCCCACAAAGCCGAUCGUAGUCCGGAUCGCAGUCUGCAACUCGACUGCGUGAAGUCGGAAUCGCUAGUAAUCGUGGAUCAGCAUGUCACGGUGAAUACGUUCCCGGGUCUU